rnacentral:rRNA from 1 species
GAGUUUGAUCCUGGCUCAGAACGAACGCUGGCGGCAUGCCUAACACAUGCAAGUCGAACGAGAAAGCCCUUCGGGGUGAGUAAAGUGGCGAACGGGUGAGUAACACGUGGGCAACCUGCCCCUCGCAGGGGGACAACCGGAGGAAACUCCGGCUAAUACCCCGUACGUUCCCAGGGUCGCAUGGCCUUGGGAGGAAAGGUAGCUUCGGCCAUCCGGCGAGGGAUGGGCCCGCGGUGCAUUAGCUAGUUGGUGGGGUAACGGCUCACCAAGGCGACGAUGCAUAGCUGGUCUGAGAGGAUGAUCAGCCACACUGGGACUGAGACACGGCCCAGACUCCUACGGGAGGCAGCAGCCAGGAAUCUUGGGCAAUGGGCGCAAGCCUGACCCAGCAACACCGUGUGGGCGAUGAAGGCCUUCGGGUCGUAAAGCCCUGUUGAUAGGGACGAAGGGCGAAGGGUUAAUAGCCCCCAGCCUGACGGUACCUUUCGAGGAAGCCCCGGCUAACUACGUGCCAGCAGCCGCGGUAA